UAGAUUUAGUAGGGUUUGAUUCUUCACCUGUGGGAUAGGGAUUCCUCAGCCUCUGCUUCCUCUUUUGCUCGUGCCCGUCGUCUCCACGAUCGGCGAAGUGGAGGAUGAACCGUCGCGAUCAUUGACAAAUGCAUCGGGUCUCUGCGGCAGCGAUGGCAUUUAGAAGAAGACGAGAAGCAGGUGGAAGAAUCACUUGCCGUCGAAUCAUCUCCUCCUCUUUCGACGUCUGCCAACGACGAACUACCGCGCAGAAUUUUUCAACAGGUAUGUUCUUGAAUACGCAUAUAUCGGAAGUUCUCUCAAAGUUCUUUCCAGCUACAGUUCUGCCCAGAUAUCGGAAGUAAAUUAUCAGUGGUUCAGAAGACAAGUCUGUGUACCACUGGGAACUCCAAACAAGAAAUCUUGUGCAGAAACUGGAAGUUCACUAGUAUCAUGCCACCCAUCUCAAAACAUGAUUGCUUCUGGGGUAAUUGAUGACAAUAAGACAGUGAAAAUAUGUUUCAGAAGAAGUAAGAUCAGCCGGAAGACUGGUAUUUCUUCUUACAACUUACUAACUAGUGGUGUGGACAAAUCCAAUCCUGCAUGCAAUCUUUAUUAUGGUUUAGUUGAAGGGCUGGAGUUUGUGAUUAGUUUCUUUGUCAUGUAAUGCAACAAAAUAUCUGUCAUACAGGCUUUUCAUCCCCGGGACAAGCUCUUGUCCAGUAGCAUCGUAGACCUGAAGCGGACAACUUAUGGUGCAGGUUCGAGCUUUAGGGUUCCUAUCACCGAUUUCUGUCAUCUUUUUAACCUCAACAAAGUUUGUGGACUACUGGUCUAGCAGUUCAACAUCUCCUGCUUCUCCGAUAACCAUGCUUCGCCGCAGUCUCCAAUCGAUUUGCAGUUUAUGAAUGGCUCAUUUGACCUAAAAAUUAUUUGGCUUCCAUCUAUUAUAAUUCAUUACAGCAGGACUUCCAGUAUCACUAGGGACAAGGGAAACAGUGGUGACCAUGGUUGGAUGAGCUGUGGCAUGCAAGUACAGUUGAUGCAGAUCAACUGUUGCUGUUAUUAUUAUUAUCAUCAUUAUUCUUGGCCUUAUCAUCCUCAGCCUUCUUGAUGGUGUACUUGAGGGAACAAAUGCAUCUAAAUGGCUUGACAUUGUAAUGCAACAAUCUCCAUCCUCAGUCCAUUGAUGUAACAGUAUGAGAAUUAGUCCCAAGGGAAUCUUAAUUAGGUUGCUAACAAAGUUCGUGUUUGUUGUCAUCAUAUAAUUUUAUAUGCUACUAAUUGAGAAAUCAUUUGCUAAAUGUUGUUAUCAGUCUAAACGAAAAGGAAAGAUGGAGAUUUGCUUUGCUU